CGUGAUGGCUACGGUAAUCUGCAGGGUUCAGCAUUCUGCCUAAGAUCGUACAGGACUGAAAGGAAGGAACCGGGAUCCCAGAGCAGGCGUUGACUCCGGAGACUUCAACCACAGUGUGCUCAGAUUGCAAUCUGCCAGCUUCCUCCUGCCCAGAAACUGACAUGGAAGCUCCCGAGCCGUUCUGCAUCAACGUUGACUUUUUGCUUCUUGAAACCGGCUUAAUCUUCUUGCUUCAUUCAAGCUACUUCUGUGUGGUGGCGGAAUGCGGAAGAUUCCAAGAAACUUUCGACAAGGCAGAAUGACUUCCUGUUGGCUUUCCAUGGUGAUUUGUGUCAGCCGUUUCCCUGGGGAGCAGACUAUGCCUCUCGGUCUUUGUCUCCAUUCUGCUGGUGAAGUACCUGGCAACUGAGUACUGUCGAAUGGGGGUUUCUAGAUCAUGGUCCACAGAUCCUUCUCUCCCAAUGAAGGUUUUUGAGGCUUUCUCCUCAGAUUUGUUAAAAGCAUGAAUGAAUGCCAAGUGCGGUGGCUUAAGUCCGUAAUCCCAGCACUCGGGAGGCAAAGGCAAUGGGAUUGAGUUAUAUAGCAACUUGAGCUAAGGCGUGAGAGCUCUGGAGAAGGGGUGGGGGAAAACUGGUAAAGCACAGAAUACUUUCAAUCAAUUGUCUUUUAAGUGACCUUCUGACUUAUUUUAAAUCCUUAAUGAGUGCAUGUUUAUGCCUCCAGGAAUCAUGGCCACACCGUUGCCAGGUUUGAAAUACAUUGUAAUACAUUUCCAAAUGACUUAUCUGUAGGAGCAUUUACUGGAGCCCCCACCUGAGCUAGUUUUCUGUUGUUCACAAUACACGAGCAGGCUGGGACUAGCAGAGAUGUGUUUGUUAGGGGCGGAGGAACUUGCCAGGAAGUCUCCAUGCUUGGGUGGAGACUGGAGACCAGGCAUGGCAACUGGGCGGAGCUGUGCAGUCCCCAGAGAAAGAAGAAGCUGGGUUCAAAGAUUCUGGGUGUCGGGAAGUGUGGUGGAGGCUUUUACUCCAGCCUGUGUCCUACCCAGUCUCUUCAUGUAUGUUUUCAAAGACAGAAAAAAGAUUCAGAGUAAAAAAAAAAAAAUCCAAAGUCUGUAUUGUAAUACUUGUGAUGAAAUACUUGGGCUGAAGCCAUAAUACAAAAUAUGCUUCCCUUUGGCAGAGUUUAUUGCUCCGUUUGGAACCAUGAGAACUCAGGUGAUAUCACUUGUAAGAAGCAAUUGUAUCCUGAGCACCAGUAAGAGGAGGCACAGUCCCUGGUGGUACAGCAGCAGCCCCAGCAUUGGUCCUGUAUGAGCUGGCAGGGCAUAGACAAACACCCCUGAGCAUGCCCAGGGCUUCUUACAUGGCAACACAGAGUGGUGGUGCUCCAGCCUCAGCAGGUAGAAGCUGAAACCUUUGACAAGAGAGGCAUUCCUCAUAGGAUGACUGUCUCUCCCCAUAGGGGAGACUUAGA